rnacentral:rRNA from 1 species
AAAACUAGCCAGUCUUGGGUAUGAAACCCAUUUGUGCGAGAGUAGUACUAGGAUGGGUGACCUCCUGGGAAGUCCUCGUGAAAGGGUUUC